AAAUUGAAGAGUUUGAUCAUGGCUCAGAUUGAACGCUGGCGGCAGGCCUAACACAUGCAAGUCGAACGGUAACAGGAAGCAGCUUGCUGCUUUGCUGACGAGUGGCGGACGGGUGAGUAAUGUCUGGGAAACUGCCUGAUGGAGGGGGAUAACUACUGGAAACGGUGGCUAAUACCGCAUAACGUCGCAAGACCAAAGAGGGGGACCUUCGGGCCUCUUGCCAUCAGAUGUGCCCAGAUGGGAUUAGCUUGUUGGUGAGGUAACGGCUCACCAAGGCGACGAUCCCUAGCUGGUCUGAGAGGAUGACCAGCCACACUGGAACUGAGACACGGUCCAGACUCCUACGGGAGGCAGCAGUGGGGAAUAUUGCACAAUGGGCGCAAGCCUGAUGCAGCCAUGCCGCGUGUAUGAAGAAGGCCUUCGGGUUGUAAAGUACUUUCAGCGGGGAGGAAGGUGUUGUGGUUAAUAACCGCAGCAAUUGACGUUACCCGCAGA
rnacentral:rRNA from 1 species